UGGAACGGUAGAAUACUCGUGAAGUGACUCUCAGAGCAGUUCUGUAGAUGUUGUUUAUGUAUUUAUGUCUUCAUAUGUCUUCAGAUGCUGAAAUCACGCGCUUCAGUGUAAAAAAAAGAAAAAAAAAACGCGCGUCUCUGCCAUUCAUUCAUUCAUUCAUUCACACACAGAGACUCGCAGAACAUGCGGGAUUCAUGUCUGAAUCGACUUUUGCGGCUUAAUAUUUACAGAUACUAGUCCAUGUCGCGAUUUGAUUAAAGUGUGACGACCUACUUUUGAUUAUUUCAUCCAAACUUUGACAUUCCGUGCUAAACUGUAAACUCCGUUUUUUUAACUGGAUUCCGAGAUUCCGUCCGCGUUUUCUGCAUCGCGGAAAUCAUAGGUCCGUACGCGUCAAGAACCGGGUUGACCGGGUACUCGGUACCACCGGUACUUAAAAAAACCUGGUACCGUGACGUUUUCAUUUUUUUAGUACCGACUUGGUACCGAAGUACCGGGUCUUUUGACAACAUGUGAACUAUCACAAUUAAAGCACAAAGACAUAACAACAUUACACUCCGAGACCAUUCACAAGUGUGACAAAAGAGAAGAAACGCUUUCCGGAAGAGAAGUUCAUCAGGCGAGUUGGAGACUAGUCGACUCAUCCAGUUUAGCGGAGAGCAUCAACCCCUAAUUGGCAUGAGGAAAAAAAUCAUUGAAAAGGGUUAAGCGUACAGUGUACCUCUCUUUGCAACAGAGGAAGCAUUAGGAAAGAGGAGAAGAGAGAAAGUGAAAAGGCACUCAACAGAUGUUGCUUUGAAAAUGCACUGGUAACAACUUAAAAAAGACGACCAAAAAUAUAAUUCAACAGAGGAUGAUGGCUGUGGUUAAACAAGCACUCAGAUAAUGAAACUAAGACCAGUGGGAGUGCUGGAGAAAUCAAGUGUAUAAGCCCUCUGUCUCCUCAGCCAUGGAAGAGAUCUUCAGACAUGAAGAGAUUGAGGAGUUAAAUGAAGUCAAAAGAGCUAAAAGAAGAUUUACAAUAUUAGUGCCAUUUCAGUAUGAAAACAGAGAGAGAGGGAAUGGAGUGGAAAGAAAUGCAUGUUAUUGUGCAAGGGGUAGUUGCAUGGACUAUCAGUGGAGCGACAGAAAGCUCUGAGAUUUCAUUAUAAAGAUCUUCGUUUGUGUUCUGAAGAUGAACAAAAUACUUGCAGGUUUGGAACGAUAUGAGGGUGAGUAAUUGAUGACAGAAUUUUCAUUUUUGGGUGAACCAACCUUUUAACUUCUUUUACCUGGAGUGUUCAAGACAUUGUUAAUGCUGACUAAUAUGUCAUAAGAAAUUAAUUGGGAGUAGAACGAAUACUUUACACAAACACUUGGUGACAUCACAAUUCAAGAUUUAUUUUAAGCAUACUAAAUAUCCCUGUAGUGAAAAGUGUAACUGAAACUUGAGAAUUUCUGAUAGCUUUUGUUUGUUUGUUUUUCCAGACUACAUCCAAAAUAGUGUUUCCACAUCUGAGAUGAAGGCAGUCAUAAGAACCAAGCAGAACAAUGAGGAUAAGCUCUUUAGAAAAAGAAACCUGUCAGAAUAAUGCGGGAAGAAAUUUGUAAAUAAACACUAAAUACAUUUAGUGUAACUCUCAGCCUGUUAUUUUAAGUUUAAAGAAAAGUAAAAUCAUUUAUUGUUACAUUGCUGUUUGAGACAUUCACUGUUGUUUUGUACCUUAAUUUAUUAUAUUGCAGAUGUGUGCAAAUAAAACUUGUUAUUCUGAAUAUUCUGGUUGCAUUUCAGUGUUACUGUACAGCAUUUUAUUAGUAUUGCACUUUGGUAGUACUGACUUGUACUUCAGUUUUAUUAUAUGUUGCAGUACUACUGCAGUUUUAUUGCAGUAUAACUGUAGUAAUACUUCAGCUGUAUUGCAGUAAUACUGCAAUAAUGCAGUUUUUUCGUGUCCAAAAAACUGCAUUUUUCUACAUGUAACAAAAACUGCAGUAAUUUUUUGUAAGGGGUGUGUCUGCCCUGCCUUUGUUGGAUUUUCAUUAAAGACUGUUAUUUUGAGUUA